GAUGAACGCUGGCGGCGUGCCUAAUACAUGCAAGUCGGGCGAACAGAUGAGGAGCUUGCUCCUCUGACGUUAGCGGCGGACGGGUGAGUAACACGUGGAUAACCUACCUAUAAGACUGGGAUAACUUCGGGAAACCGGAGCUAAUACCGGAUAAUAUAUUGAACCGCAUGGUUCAAUAGUGAAAGACGGUUUUGCUGUCACUUAUAGAUGGAUCCGCGCCGCAUUAGCUAGUUGGUAAGGUAACGGCUUACCAAGGCAACGAUGCGUAGCCGACCUGAGAGGGUGAUCGGCCACAAUGGAACUGAGACACGGUCCAGACUCCUACGGGAGGCAGCAGUAGGGAAUCUUCCGCAAUGGGCGAAAGCCUGACGGAGCAACGCCGCGUGAGUGAUGAAGGUCUUCGGAUCGUAAAACUCUGUUAUUAGGGAAGAACAAAUGUGUAAGUAACUAUGCACGUCUUGACGGUACCUAAUCAGAAAGCCACGGCUAACUACGUG
rnacentral:rRNA from 1 species